rnacentral:rRNA from 1 species
GAUGAACGCUAGCUACAGGCCUAACACAUGCAAGUCGAGGGGCAGCGGGAAGGAAGCUUGCUUUCUUUGCCGGCGACCGGCGCACGGGUGAGUAACGCGUAUCCAACCUGCCCUUGUCCACGGGAUAACCCGGUGAAAACCGGCCUAAUACCGUAUGAGGUCACAAGCGGGCAUCCAACUGUGACGAAAGGUUUUGCGGACAAGGAUGGGGAUGCGUCCGAUUAGCUUGACGGCGGGGUAACGGCCCACCGUGGCGACGAUCGGUAGGGGUUCUGAGAGGAAGGUCCCCCACAUUGGAACUGAGACACGGUCCAAACUCCUACGGGAGGCAGCAGUGAGGAAUAUUGGUCAAUGGACGGGAGUCUGAACCAGCCAAGUAGCGUGCAGGAUGACGGCCUAUGGGUUGUAAACUGCUUUUGCGCGGGGAUAAAGUGUGGGACGUGUCCCAUAUUGCAGGUACCGCAUGAAUAAGGACCGGCUAAUUCCGUG